rnacentral:rRNA from 1 species
GUGCCAGCCGCCGCGGUAAUACGUAGGGCGCAAGCGUUGUCCGGAAUUAUUGGGCGUAAAGAGCUCGUAGGCGGCUUGUCACGUCGGGUGUGAAAGCCCGGGGCUUAACCCCGGGUCUGCAUCCGAUACGGGCAGGCUAGAGUGUGGUAGGGGAGAUCGGAAUUCCUGGUGUAGCGGUGAAAUGCGCAGAUAUCAGGAGGAACACCGGUGGCGAAGGCGGAUCUCUGGGCCAUUACUGACGCUGAGGAGCGAAAGCGUGGGGAGCGAACAGGAUUAGAUACCCUGGUAGUCCACGCCGUAAACGUUGGGAACUAGGUGUUGGCGACAUUCCACGUCGUCGGUGCCGCAGCUAACGCAUUAAGUUCCCCGCCUGGGGAGUACGGCCGCAAGGCUAAAACUCAAAGGAAUUGACGGGGGCC